GCCCGGGUGGCGGAACGGUAGACGCACGGGACUUAAAAUCCUGGGCCGGAAGGCGUGCGGGUUCGAAUCCCGCCCCGGGCA
rnacentral:tRNA from 1 species